rnacentral:lncRNA from 1 species
GGGAAGGCAGCGCAGGGAGACCGGCCGGAAGCGCGAGCGCACCUGGUGGAGAAUCUAGAGAUGUGAACUUAUUGCGCACGCGCGGACGCGCGCCUGGUUGCCCAGCUGGAGCUCGCGUUGCUAGGCGCGCGCCAGUCAGAUGCCUGUGCUUGGGGUUGGAGCGCGCGUCCUUGUCAGUCGUCGUGGCACGAUGGGGCUGUUAGGAUUCCCCGUACCCUCCUCCUCGUCCAUUCGGGAUGCCCCUCGGCUACCCUCUCGUGUCGGCUGCAACUCUUGGUCGCAACAUUCAAGUUUUCCCACGUGUGCAGCAUUACCCGGGAGAACCUCGGUCCCGCUCCGCACCUCCCUGCCCUGCAGCUCCGCACCUCCCUGCCCUGCAGCUCCGCACCUCCCUGCCCUGCAGCUCCGCACCUCCCUGCCCUGCAGCUCCGCACCUCCCUGCCCUGCAGCAGGGCCCGGGCGCCGGGUGCGCGCCGGGAAGGGAGGAACGCGGCCCAGGCCGGAGGGCUCCGCGCAGGUCCCGGCUGCCCGAGCAGUUUGCAGCGGCCUCUCGGGGCUUUCUUUUAAUUUUGAACCUCUGAAGUCUCCCUCCAGCCAUUCUUGACUGCUGUUUCCACAGCGCCAGCUUCAGGACUGUGUUCAGUUCCCUUAGUGACCGAGCCGUGUCCCCGGGUAACCGAAGGCCCAAGGCUCUCUAAUGCACCGACCGUUCUCGGCGCCCUGGGGAGGCGAGAUUGCAGAUUAUGGCUGCAGGGGACCCAGCAGCCCCCACCCCUUGAAGGCUCAAGCUGUUGGAACCGGGAGCCAGGACAGGGCUGCGCUGGUGGCAAGCUGGGGUUUCCAAGGAGGGAAGUGGCAUAAGGGCGUCAUUCACGGCGAACCCCUCCUGAUACCUGUACCUCUCCUGCCCAGCCUCUGGCAAGUUCCAGUUUUCUCAUUUCUCUUUGAAUUUUACGAAUAACCUGCCACCACCCGGAAUGAGAACUCCCACCUGUGCUUUGCCCACAGGGAGCGCUUGGCACAGAGCCCGACACAAUUGUGUUUGCGGGUGCUGGAGCUGGGUUGGUUUUUCCUGGCUACCUUUGCUCCCCGGGUUCAAAAGUGAGGAGCAUCUUUCUCCUGGAGGAUCCGGUUCAUCAAAUGUUUGUGGAGAUUUUAAGGCUGUGGCUGUGGCUCAGUGGUAGAGCACUUGCCUGGCAUGUGUGAGGCACUGGGUUCCAUCCUCAGCACCACAUAAAAAUAAACAAC